rnacentral:pre_miRNA from 1 species
UCGUCAAGGCUAACGGAAGAAGAGAGAGAGUACAGCUUUGGGUAGUUAAGAUUAUAGUUUAGUACUUGUGUGUGCCUAUAUAUAUGAUCUUUUUCGCCAAGGCUGUACCCUCUCUCUUCGUCUCUUAGCAUCUUGAUGC